rnacentral:rRNA from 1 species
UACGGGGGGGGCAAGCGUUGUUCGGAAUUACUGAGCGUAAAGGGCUCGUAGGUGGCCAACUAAGUCAGACGUGAAAUCCCUCGGCUUAACCGGGGAACUGCGUCUGAUACUGGAUGGCUUGAGUUUGGGAGAGGGAUGCGGAAUUCCAGGUGUAGCGGUGAAAUGCGUAGAUAUCUGGAGGAACACCGGUGGCGAAGGCGGCAUCCUGGACCAAUACUGACACUGAGGAGCGAAAGCCAGGGGAGCAAACGGG